CACGGGGGGAACGCGAAGAACCUUACCAGCUCUUGACAUCCCAGGAACCCUAGCAGAGAUGCAUGGGGGUGCCGCAAGGAACCUGGAGACAGGUGCUGCAUGGCUGUCGUCAGCUCGUGUCGUGAGAUGUUGGGUUAAGUCCCGCAACGAGCGCAACCCUCGCCCUUAGUUGCCAUCAUUCAGUUGGGCACUCUAAGGGGACUGCCGGUGAUAAGCCGGAGGAAGGUGGGGAUGACGUCAAGUCCUCAUGGCCCUUACAGGUUGGGCUACACACGUGCUACAAUGGCGGUGACAGAGGGAUGCAAUGGAGCAAUCCUGCGCAAAUCUCAAAAAGCCGUCUCAGUUCGGAUUGCACUCUGCAACUCGAGUGCAUGAAGUUGGAAUCGCUAGUAAUCGCAGAUCAGCACGCUGCGGUGAAUACGUUCCCGGGUCUUGUACACACGC
rnacentral:rRNA from 1 species